AGUGGGGAAUAUUGCACAAUGGGCGCAAGCCUGAUGCAGCCAUGCCGCGUGUGUGAAGAAGGCCUUCGGGUUGUAAAGCACUUUCAGCGGGGAGGAAGGCGAUAAGGUUAAUAACCUUGUCGAUUGACGUUACCCGCAGAAGAAGCACCGGCUAACUCCGUGCCAGCAGCCGCGGUAAUACGGAGGGUGCAAGCGUUAAUCGGAAUUACUGGGCGUAAAGCGCACGCAGGCGGUCUGUCAAGUCGGAUGUGAAAUCCCCGGGCUCAACCUGGGAACUGCAUUCGAAACUGGCAGGCUAGAGUCUUGUAGAGGGGGGUAGAAUUCCAGGUGUAGCGGUGAAAUGCGUAGAGAUCUGGAGGAAUACCGGUGGCGAAGGCGGCCCCCUGGACAAAGACUGACGCUCAGGUGCGAAAGCGUGGGGAGCAAA
rnacentral:rRNA from 1 species